rnacentral:rRNA from 1 species
AAAUUGAAGAGUUUGAUCAUGGCUCAGAUUGAACGCUGGCGGCAGGCCUAACACAUGCAAGUCGAACGGUAACAGAAAGCAGCUUGCUGCUUUGCUGACGAGUGGCGGACGGGUGAGUAAUGUCUGGGAAACUGCCUGAUGGAGGGGGAUAACUACUGGAAACGGUAGCUAAUACCGCAUAACGUCGCAAGACCAAAGAGGGGGACCUUAGGGCCUCUUGCCAUCGGAUGUGCCCAGAUGGGAUUAGCUAGUAGGUGGGGUAACGGCUCACC